GUGAAUCAUCAAAUUUUUGAACGCAUAUUGCACUAUCUGGGAUUUCGGAGAGUAUGCCUAUUUGAGGGUAAUUUGAAAUAAUAUAAAUUCCAAUAUUUCUCGGAAUUUAAAAUGGGUUGUCCAUUUUUUGCGGUCGCUUAAAAUGCAAGACAAGCUCAUUUCUUGGGUUGCGUGAUACUUUCAGUUACCUCGUGAUUUCACAAGAAAUCUUCGAGCGUGUUAAUAAUUGUGCAAGAAAUAAACUACAUUUAUCUCGAUCUCAAUAUUAAAUAGAAUCAUGACCU
rnacentral:misc_RNA from 1 species